UACAAAAGACCUGAGAAUACUUAACCCCCCACCACUAGCACACUCAAAGCUCAAGGCAAAUGCAUUUUCAAGAUUGACAGGGUCUUGGACUCUGAAAGUCUUUGGAUGAGGAAUGCAGAAUUCUGACCUACCUGAGUGUCCCCAGCAUGACUUGGUGUCCCUAGCUUGCUGGGAUCAUCAGACAUGAACACCAUGCCACCACUACAAUUCUCUUCAGUUGAGGCAACUCUUCUACGGAACCCUAGCUACAAGACCCAAGAAAAAUCGUGUUAUCUAAGAGAGCAGUUAUUCUGACACAGACUGAUAUCAGGUGCCUGUGGCAUG
rnacentral:lncRNA from 1 species